rnacentral:rRNA from 1 species
UACAGAGGGUGCGAGCGUUGUCCGGAAUCACUGGGCGUAAAGGGCGCGUAGGUGGCGACCCAAGUCCAUGGUGAAAGCUCGAUGCUCAACAUCGAGUCGGCCACGGAUACUGGGUUGCUGGAGCACUGUAGAGGCAGAUGGAAUUCCGGGUGUAGCGGUGGAAUGCGUAGAGAUCCGGAAGAACACCGGUGGCGAAGGCGGUCUGCUGGGCAGUUGCUGACACUGAGGCGCGACAGCGUGGGUAGCAAACAGG